GACGAACGCUGGCGGCGUGCCUAAUACAUGCAAGUCGAGCGCAGGAAGCCGUCUGAACCCUUCGGGGGGACGACGGUGGAAUGAGCGGCGGACGGGUGAGUAACACGUAAAGAACCUGCCCAUAGGUCUGGGAUAACCACGAGAAAUCGGGGCUAAUACCGGAUGUGUCAUCGGACCGCAUGGUCCGCUGAUGAAAGGCGCUCCGGCGUCGCCCAUGGAUGGCUUUGCGGUGCAUUAGCUAGUUGGUGGGGUAACGGCCCACCAAGGCGACGAGGCAUAGCCGACCUGAGAGGGUGAUCGGCCACACUGGGACUGAGACACGGCCCAGACUCCUACGGGAGGCAGCAGUAGGGAAUCUUCCACAAUGGACGAAAGUCUGAUGGAGCAACGCCGCGUGAACGAUGAAGGCUUUCGGGUCGUAAAGUUCUGUUGUAAGGGAAGAACAAGUGCCGCAGGCAAUGGCGGCACCUUGACGGUACCUUGCGAGAAAGCCACGGCUAACUACGUGCCAGCCGCCGCAGUAAUAC
rnacentral:rRNA from 1 species